UACGUAGGUGGCGAGCGUUGUCCGGAAUUACUGGGCGUAAAGGGUGCGCAGGCGGUUUCUUAAGUCAGAUGUGAAAUCCCCAGGCUUAACCUGGGGACUGCAUUUGAAACUGGGAGGCUAGAGUGCAGGAGAGGAAAGCGGAAUUCCUAGUGUAGCGGUGAAAUGCGUAGAUAUUAGGAAGAACACCAGUGGCGAAGGCGGCUUUCUGGACUGUAACUGACGCUGAGGCACGAAAGCGUGGGGAGCAAAC
rnacentral:rRNA from 1 species